UACGUAGGGGGCAAGCGUUGUCCGGAAUUAUUGGGCGUAAAGAGCUCGUAGGCGGUUUGUCGCGUCUGCUGUGAAAUCCCGAGGCUCAACCUCGGGCCUGCAGUGGGUACGGGCAGACUAGAGUGCGGUAGGGGAGAUUGGAAUUCCUGGUGUAGCGGUGGAAUGCGCAGAUAUCAGGAGGAACACCGAUGGCGAAGGCAGAUCUCUGGGCCGUAACUGACGCUGAGGAGCGAAAGCGUGGGGAGCGAACAGG
rnacentral:rRNA from 1 species